rnacentral:rRNA from 1 species
AGCAAUGGGAUGCGAAUCUCGAAAGCCUGUCUCAGUUCGGAUUGGAGGCUGAAACCCGCCUCCAUGAAGUUGGAUUCGCUAGUAAUCGCGCAUCAGCCAUGGCGCGGUGAAUACGUUCCCGGGCCUUGUACACACCGCCCGUCAAGCCAUGGGAGCCGGGGGGUGCCUGAAGUUCGUGACCGCAAGGAGCGACCUAGGGCAAAACUGGUGACUGGGGCUAAGUCGUAACAAGGUACC